rnacentral:rRNA from 1 species
CGGGCCCUCGCGGUCCGACCCUCAACCACCGCGUACCAAACUUUUCGUUGCCUCGGCGGGCCGGGCUUACGCCCACCGCCUCACCCCCCGCUCACCCGGGGAGGCGAGGGGGGUCGCGCCCGCCGCAGGACACCAAAAAAACCGUUUCGUAUGACGAACGUCUGAUAUUCUUUUAGCGAAUGCUAUAAAGUACAACUUUCAACAAUGGAUCUCUUGGCUCUGGCAUCGAUGAAGAACGCAGCGAAAUGCGAUAACUAGUGUGAAUUGCAGAUUUCAGUGAAUCAUCGAGUCUUUGAACGCACAUUGCGCCCCUUGGUAUUCCUCGGGGCAUGCCUAUUCGAGCGUCGUUUCCACCCUCAAGCCCAGGCUUGGUGUUGGGGAUCGCCCCUCCCUCGCGAGGCGGCGGCCCUUGAAUUCAUCGGCGGUGCCGGUGUGGCCCUGAGCGCAGCAGCGAUGCAGCUCUCGACCCUCCGAAACCAGCCGUGCAAGACAGCAGGCGGUACCCUUCGCGGUCCACCAGCAAAAAACCCAAACGUCGACCUCGAAUUAGGUAGGGAUACCCGCUGAACUUAAGCAUAUCAAUAAGCGGAGGAAAAGAAACCAACAGGGAUUGCCUCAGUAACGGCGAGUGAAGCGGCAACAGCUCAAAUUUGAAAUCUGGCUCCUUUGGAGUCCGAGUUGUAAUUUGUAGAGGAUGCUUCGGCGUCGGCCCCGCACAAAGUUCCUUGGAACGGGACGUCAUAGAGGGUGAGAGCCCCGUGUCUAUGCGGAUGCCUUCGCCAUGUGAAGCUCCUUCGACGAGUCGAGUUGUUUGGGAAUGCAGCUCAAAACGGGAGGUAAAUUUCUUCCAAAGCUAAAUACCGGCCAGAGACCGAUAGUGCACAAGUAGAGUGAUCGAAAGAUGAAAAGCACUUUGGAAAGAGAGUCAAACAGCGCGUGAAAUUGUUGAAAGGGAAGCGCUUGAGGUUAGACUUUGCCGUAGUUGUUCGGCGGGGCUUCUGCCCCGUUUACUCUUCUGCGGCAGGGCCAGCAUCGAUUUGGGCGGCUGGACAAAAGUCGCGGGAACGUAGCACCUCUCGGGGUGUGUUAUAGCCCGCGGCACAAUGCAGCCAGCC